rnacentral:tRNA from 1 species
CAGGGUGUAGCUGAGUAAGAUAAAGCAUCUCCCUUACACUGAGAAGCCCCCCGUGCAAAUCGGGUCACCCUGA